CGCCAAUACCACGUUGAAAGCACUGGUUCUCGUCCGAUCACCAAAGUUAAGCAACGUUGGGCCCAGUUGGUACUUGGAUGAGUGACCGGCUGGGAAUACCGGCUUUCUUGUGC
rnacentral:rRNA from 1 species